CCUACGGGAGGCAGCAGUGGGGAAUAUUGGGCAAUGGGCGAAAGCCUGACCCAGCAACGCCGCGUGAAGGAAGAAGGCUUUCGGGUUGUAAACUUCUUUUGACAGGGAAGAGCAGAAGACGGUACCUGUCGCAUAAGCCACGGCUAACUACGUGCCAGCAGCCGCGGUAAUACGUAGGGGGCAAGUGUUAUCCGGAUUUACUGGGUGUAAAGGGAGCGUAGGCGGCAGUGCAAGUCAGAAGUGAAAGCCCAAGGCUCAACCAUGGGACUGCUUUUGAAACUGUACAGCUAGAUUGCAGGAGAGGUAAGUGGAAUUCCUAGUGUAGCGGUGAAAUGCGUAGAUAUUAGGAGGAACACCAGUGGCGAAGGCGCCUUACUGGACUGUAAAUGACGCUGAGGCUCGAAAGCGUGGGGAGCAAACAGGAUUAGAUACCCUUGUAGUC
rnacentral:rRNA from 1 species